rnacentral:tRNA from 1 species
GCCCGAGUGGGGUAGCGGUAACCUUGGAGACUGUGGAUCUCUAGCUGCGGGUUCGAUUCCCGCCUCGGGCCCA